AUUGAACGCUGGCGGCAUGCUUUACACAUGCAAGUCGAACGGUAACAGGGUGCUUGCACCGCUGACGAGUGGCGAACGGGUGAGUAAUGCGUCGGAACGUGCCGAGUAGUGGGGGAUAACGCAGCGAAAGUUGUGCUAAUACCGCAUACGUACUGAGGUAGAAAGUGGGGGACCUUCGGGCCUCACGCUAUUCGAGCGGCCGCCGUCUGCUUAGCUAGUAGGUGAGGUAAAGGCUCACCUAGGCGACGAUCAGUAGCGGGUCUGAGAGGAUGAUCCGCCACACUGGGACUGAGACACGGCCCAGACUCCUACGGGAGGCAGCAGUGGGGAAUUUUGGACAAUGGGCGAAAGCCUGAUCCAGCCAUGCCGCGUGUCUGAAGAAGGCCUUCGGGUUGUAAAGGACUUUUGUCAGGGAGGAAAUCCCUAGUGCUAAUAACACUGGGGGAUGACAGUACCUGAAGAAUAAGCACCGGCUAACUACGUGCCAGCCGCCGCGGUAA
rnacentral:rRNA from 1 species